CCUCUUGGUCCCUAGUCCUAAGAACCACUCAGAGGCGCCGCCGAGCUGAGCAAUGUCUUCACAGGCUGCUGUGGGAGCCAUUCAACCUGCAGAGGAUAAAAUGCAGAUGGUGGAAGGUGGUCUCUGAGUUGGAAGAGAAGGCGCUGAGGCCUCCAGGAGCAGGUUUCGAAGAAAGGCGGCGGUAUAUUCAUAUUUCAUGCCAUGACACACAAAGGAUCAGCUGACCCGGGUAGGUUGGUCUUGUGACUGCCUGGUAGGUUCUACUCCCCAUCUCACAAACAGAAGGUGCUAAACAGGGGCACAGAACCUGGCUCAGUUCUGCUACCAGCUAAAAUGUGUUCUAGAUCGCCAAGACUGCAUCUGCCCUGCAGGCACAGAGCCUCACCCCUCACCACUCCGCUGCCCGUCCACACCCGCCACCAGCUCACCAUGGAUAAUGAUAUCAUCACGUUCAUCGUCAAAAAUGGCUCUGGCAUAUGCAAGGCCAGCUUGGUGGGCAACAAUGCUCUCUGAGCUAUCUUCCCCUCCAUCGUGGGGUGUCCAGGCACUAGCGUGUGAUGGUAGGCAUGGGGCAGAAGGACUCCUAAAUGGGCGGCAAGGGCCCGGGGCAAGAGGGGCUUCCUGACCCUGAAGUACCCCAUCGAGCACAGCAACAUCACCAACUGGGAGGACAUGGAGAAGAUCUGGCAUCAUACCUUCUACAAUGAGCUGCGUGUGGCUCCUGAGGAGCACUCCGUACUGAUGACUGAGGACCCCUGAACCCCAAAGCCAACCUUGAAAAGUUGGACCAUGUUUGAGACCUUCAACACCCCAGCCAUGUAUGUGGCCAUCCAGGCUGUGCUGUCCCUGUACACCUCUGGCCAUGCCACUGGCAUCCUGAUGGAUUCCGGUGACAGGUCACCCACACUGUGCCCAUCCAUGAAGGGUAGGCCCUCCCCCACGCCAACCUACAUUUGCACCUGGCUGGCUGGGACCUGACUGACUACCUCAUGAAUAUCCUCACUGAGCGUGGCUACAGCUUCACCAACAUGGCCAACUGGGAAAUUGUGCAUGACAUCAAGGAGAAGCUGUGCUGUGUCGCCCUGGACUUUUGAGCAGGAGAUGACCAUGGCAGCCUCCAGCUCCUCCCUGGAGAAGAGCUAGGAGUUGCCUGGCAGCCAGGUCAUCACCAUCAGCAACGAGCGGCUCCGCUGCCCCGAGGCACUCUUCCAGCCUUCCUUCCUGGGCGUGGAAUCCUGUGGCAUGCAUGAAACUACCUUCAACUCCACCAGGAAGUGUGAUGUGGACAUCCACAAAGACCUGUAUGCCAACACAGUACUGUCUAGCGGUGGCACCACCAUGUGCCCUGGCAUUGCCGACAGGAUGCAGAAGGAGAUCACCACCCCUGCGCCCAGCAUGAUGAAGAUCAAGAUCAUUGCUCCUCCGAAGCACAAGUACUUCGUGUGGAUCAGCGGCUCCAUCCUGGCCUCGGCGUCCACCUUCCAGCAGAUGUGGAUCAGCAAGCAGGAGUACGAUGAGUCCAGUCCCUCCAUUGUCCACUACAAACGCCUCUAGGCAGAUGUGACUUACUUGCGUUACACCCUUUCCUGACAAACUUGAGCGGAAGACAAGAUGAGAUUGGCACGGCUUUGGUUUUUUUUUGGGGGGGGGGGUUGGGUUUUUUGUUUUUUGUUGUUGUAGAUUGUUUUUGUUUUGUCUUGACUCGGGAUUUAAAAACUGAAAUGGUGAAGGCGACAGCAGUCAGUUGGAGCGAGCAUCCCCCAAAGUUCUACAAUGUGGCCAAGGACUUUGAUUGUACAUUGUUCUUUUUUUUAAUGAUCAUUCCAAAUAUCAUGAGAUGCAUUGUUAUAGGAAGUCCCUUGCCCUUCCAAAAGCCACCCCACUUCUCUCUAAAGAGAAUGGCCCAGUCCUCUCCUGAGUCCACACAGGGGAGGUGACAGCAUUGCUUCAUGUAAAUUAUGUAACGCAAAAAAUUUUUAAUCUUCGCCUCAAUACUUUUUUAUUUUGAAUGAUCAGCCUUUGUGACUACCCCUUUUUUGUUCCCCAGCUUGAGAUGUAUGAAGGCUUUUGGUCUCCUGGGAGUGGGUGGAGGCCGCCAGGGCUUACCUGUACACUGACUGGAGACCAGUUGAAUAAAAGUGCACACCUUAAAAAA